UGGUGAGUAACACGUGGGAACGUGCCUUUUAGUGGGGGAUAACAUCUGGAAACGGAUGCUAAUACCGCAUACGCCCUGAGGGGGAAAGAUUUAUUGCUAAAAGGUCGGCCCGCGGUAGAUUAGGCAGUUGGUGGGGUAAAGGCCUACCAAACCUACGAUCUAUAGCUGGUCUGAGAGGACGAUCAGCCACAUUGGAACUGAGACACGGUCCAGACUCCUACGGGAGGCAGCAGUGAGGAAUAUUGGGCAAUGGAGGCAACUCUGACCCAGCCAUGCCGCGUGAGUGAAGAAGGUUUUCGAAUUGUAAAGCUCUUUCAGGUGUGAAGAUGAUGACGGUAACACCAGAAGAAGCCCCGGCAAACUUCGUGCCAGCAGCCGCGGUAAUACGAAGGGGGCGAGCGUUGUUCGGAAUUACUGGGCGUAAAGGGUGUGUAGGCGGUUUAGUAAGAUAGUGGUGAAAUGCCGGAGCUCAACUUCGGAAUUGCCAUUAUGACUAUUAAGCUAGAAUGAUGUAGAGGAUAGCGGAAUACCCAGUGUAGAGGUGAAAUUCGUAGAUAUUGGGUAGAACACCAGAGGCGAAGGCGGCUAUCUGGGCAUUUAUUGACGCUGAGGCACGAAAGCAUGGGGAUCAAACAGGAUUAGAUACCCUGGUAGUCCAUGCUGUAAAAGAU
rnacentral:rRNA from 1 species